rnacentral:rRNA from 1 species
CCUACGGGAGGCAGCAGUGAGGAAUAUUGGUCAAUGGGCGAGAGCCUGAACCAGCCAAGUCGCGUGAAGGAUGACGGCCCUACGGGUUGUAAACUUCUUUUGUCAGGGAGCAAUUGGGUCCACGCGUGGGCUUAGCGAGAGUACCUGAAGAAAAAGCAUCGGCUAACUCCGUGCCAGCAGCCGCGGUAAUACGGAGGAUGCGAGCGUUAUCCGGAUUUAUUGGGUUUAAAGGGUGCGUAGGCUGUUUCGUAAGUCGUGUGUGAAAGGCGCGGGCUCAACCCGCGGACGGCACAUGAUACUGCGAG